GACGAACGCUGGCGGCGUGCUUAACACAUGCAAGUCGAACGGAAAGGCCCUGCUUUCGUGGGGUGCUCGAGUGGCGAACGGGUGUGUAACCCGUGAGUAACCUGCCCUUGACUUUGGGAUAACUUCAGGAAACUGGGGCUAAUACCGGCUUGGAGCUCCUGCUGCAUGGUGGGGGUUGGAAAGUUUCGGCGGUUGGGGAUGGACUCCCGGCUUAUCAGCUUGUUGGUGGGGUAGUGGCUUACCAAGGCUUUGACGGGUAGCCGGCCUGAGAGGGUGACCAGCCACAUUGGGACUGAGGUACGGCGCAGAGUCCAACGGGAGGCAGCAGUGGGGAAUAUUACACAAUGGGGCGAAGCCUGAUGCAGCGACGCCGCGUGCGGGAUGACGGCCUUCGGGUUGUAAACCGCUUUCGCCUGUGACGAAGCGUGAGUGACGGUAAUGGGUAAAGAAGCACCGGCUAACUACGUG
rnacentral:rRNA from 1 species